CUAGUCUUCAAUCUGGUCUGGAGUUCAAGCCCUGCCUCUGGAGUCAUGUCCCACCUCCUACUUCACCAGUACCUUCCCUCUCCUCCUGAUUAGUGUAAAGAUAGCUCAUUUCAGAGUCUGCACCACUGGGAGGGCAGAAGAAAUGUGCCAGAUUAACUAUUUAUUGUUUUGUAAUACGAUGUAGCCAAAUGCUUUCACUCUACGAUGUCCCCCAGCCAAACUCCUCAGAUUAGUCAAUUAGGAUUCAUCCAUGCACCAAGAAGGAAGAAGAGGACAGAUAUUGAGGGGCAACUAAUAGUAUCAGCACAAUGAACGCUCCAGAAGAAGAACCUGAGACUGUCAUCUCCUGGAAUGGGGCUCCCCAGAGCUUCCUCACUCAGGAUGUGCAUAAUGAAUGCAGCAGCCUGGGCAGGGGAGGGCGUCGCAUGCUGGGCCUGUGGUCCCAGGGGCAGCCUCGUCUUUCCCUGGUUCCUUCCAAAGCAAGGUAUUCUGGGCAGGGAGGGAUGAUUUAUGAUCUCUCUUUGGGCUCAGCGUGGUUGCUGUGCGAGGAAGGACGCUGCUCUGCACAGGAGCAGGAGCAGAGCAUCCACACAGCAUGCAGGGGAUUGCUGGACACAUCUCACAUAGUCAGGGUUGGAGAAGACCUCGUGAUCACCUGUUCAGCCUCUCAAGUCUACAGAGGCAGAAAAUGAGGCACAGGGAGAAAAUGGGGCCAGAUGAAGGCCCACUCCUAGCCCGUGCCAGAGCAGAGGAACGUCCACUCAUACCUAAUCCAGUGCAUUGUGCUGAUUCACCUCUCUUGGUGGUGAAUUUUCCCAUCUGGAAAACUAGGCUGAUAUUGUAGAUCCUAGCUUACAAAAAUGUUCUCGACUGGAAUGUGAAAGAAUACACAAUUGGGAG
rnacentral:lncRNA from 1 species